rnacentral:rRNA from 1 species
GAUGAACGCUAGCGGCAGGCUUAACACAUGCAAGUCGAGGGGUAGAAGGAGCUUGCUCCUUUGAGACCGGCGCACGGGCGCGUAACGCGUACGCAAUUUACCUUGUACAGGGGUAUAGCUCAGAGAAAUUAGGAUUAAUGACCCCUAGUAUAUAACCUUCGCAUGUUGGUUAUGUUAAAAUUCCAACGGUACAAGGUGAGCAUGCGUCCCAUUAGUUGGUUGGUAAGGUAACGGCUUACCAAGACGGUGAUGGGUAGGGGUCGUGAGGGGGGGGUCCCCCACACUGGUACUGAGACACUGACCAGACUCCUACGGCACGCAGCAGUGAGGAAGAUUGCUCAAUGGUCGCAAGACUGAACCAGCCAUGCCGCGUGCAGGAAGACGGUCCUAUGGAUGGUAACCUGCUUUUAUACAGGAAGAAACCCCUCCACGGGUGGGAGCUUGACGGUACUGGAGGAAUAAGGAUCGGCUAACUACGUG